GAUGAACGCUAGCUACAGGCUUAACACAUGCAAGUCGAGGGGUAACGAGAGGAAAGCUUGCUUUCCUUGUCGACGACCGGCGCACGGGUGAGUAACGCGUAUCCAACCUGCCCCCAACUAAGGAAUAACCUUGCGAAAGUAAGACUAAUACCUUAUAAUUUCCUCAGAUGUCAUCUGACGAGGAAUAAAGAUUUAUCGGUUGUGGAUGGGGAUGCGUCUGAUUAGCUUGUUGGCGGGGUAACGGCCCACCAAGGCAACGAUCAGUAGGGGUUCUGAGAGGAAUGUCCCCCACAUUGGAACUGAGACACGGUCCAAACUCCUACGGGAGGCAGCAGUGAGGAAGAUUGGUCAAUGGGCGAAAGCCUUAACCAGCCAAGUAGCGUGCAGGUUGACGGCCCUAUGGGUUGUAAACUGCUUUUAUACAGGAAUAAAGUUAGCCACGUGUGGUUAUUUGUAGGUACUGUAUGAAUAAGGACCGGCUAAUUCCGUGCCAGCCGCCGCCGUAA
rnacentral:rRNA from 1 species